ACGGGUGCGGAACACGUACAGAACCUUCCUUUAAGUGGGGAAUAGCCCAGGGAAACUUGGAUUAAUACCCCGUAAUAUUAUGAAGUGGCAUCACUUUAUAAUUAUAGCUCCGGCGCUUGAAGAUGGCUGUGCGGCUGAUUAGGUAGUUGGCGGGGUAACGGCCCACCAAGCCUACGAUCAGUAACUGGUGUGAGAGCACGACCAGUCACACGGGCACUGAGACACGGGCCCGACUCCUACGGGAGGCAGCAGUAAGGAAUAUUGGUCAAUGGACGCAAGUCUGAACCAGCCAUGCCGCGUGGAGGAUGAAGGUCCUCUGGAUUGUAAACUUCUUUUCUCUGGGGCGAAAAAAGCUCAUUCUUGAGCACUUGACAGUACCAGAGGAAUAAGCACCGGCUAACUCCGUGCCAGCAGCCGCGGUAAUACGGAGGGUGCAAGCGUUAUCCGGAUUCACUGGGUUUAAAGGGUGCGUAGGAGGGCAGGUAAGUCAGUGGUGAAAUCCCCGAGCUUAACUUGGGAACUGCCGUUGAUACUAUCUGUCUUGAAUAUUGUGGAGGUAAGCGGAAUAUGUCAUGUAGCGG
rnacentral:rRNA from 1 species